rnacentral:rRNA from 1 species
GCAUCCAACGCGUUGGGAGCUCUCCCAUAUGGUCGACCUGCAGGCGGCCGCGAAUUCACUAGUGAUUCGUAUUACCGCGGCUGCUGGCACGGAGUUAGCCGGGACUUCUUCUGCGGGUACCGUCAUUAUCUUCCCCGCUGAAAGAGGUUUACAACCCGAAGGCCGUCAUCCCUCACGCGGCGUCGCUGCAUCAGGCUUGCGCCCAUUGUCCAAUAUUCCCCACUGCUGCCUCCCGUAGGAGUCUGGGCCGUGUCUCAGUCCCAGUGUGGCUGGUCGUUCUCUCAAACCAGCUAAGGAUCGUCGCCUUGGUGAGCCAUUACCUCACCAACUAGCUAAUCCUACGCGGGCCCAUCCUAUAGCGAUAAAUCUUUCCCCUUUCGGGCGUAUACGGUAUUACUCCAAGUUUCCCUGGGCUAUUCCGUACUAUAGGGAAGGUUCCCACGUGUUACUCACCCGUCUGCCACUCCCCUUGCGGGGCGUUCGACUUGCAUGUGUUAGGCCUGCCGCCAGCGUUCGUUCUGAGCCAUGAUCAAACUCUAAUCGAAUUCUCGCGGCCGCCAUGGCG